AAUGUUGCGGAAGCGACGAUAAUAUUAAUAACAAUAUUAUCAGAAAUAUUUAGAUAAUUAUUAUGCCAACAAUUAUACUAAGAAAAUUCCCAGUUAAAUUGGAGGGGUCACAAUGGUCCCGCUUAAAACCCAACAACUAGACAGAACUCACUUAGAUAUUUAUAGCAAUAAUAACUAAAUAAAUAUAACCAAUAUAAAGCUAUUAAAUAAAAGCAAACAAAUAAGAAAUAAAAUACCAGAGUUUUAACGAGGUUCGGCCAAUUUAGCUUACGUCCUCGGACACUACCAAAUUAAUAUUUCCUCUAGAAAUAUUACAAAGGAGAAGAUUUUGGGAUAAUACAACCAAAGGGGGAGGGGUUCUAUAUAUAACAAACCAAACCCCCUCCAUUUCUAUCUUUUCCUAAUGUGGGAUAUUGCCAAUAUUCAACAAAUCUCCACCUUGGCGAUAUUCCACAUCUUCGAACAUCUUCUCAUAACACAAACUUCAAUAGUGUCUUCAAUUUUGCAACCAAUCGCCUUCUUCCCUUUUGGUAGUUGUGCCAGCUUCCACAUCUUGUUUUUCUCUAGAGAUUGCAUUUCCUCUUCCAUUGCACCUAACCAUCUAUAAUUCUCUAAACUCUGAAUGGCUUCGGUGUAAGUGGAUGGAAUAUUAUCAACAACUGGAAGUGCAUAAGCUACCAUGUCAGUGAAACGAGCAGGUUUCUGAAUUUCUCGUCUCUGCCUUCUGACUGCAAUUGGCUCUGAUUGCUGUUGAGGUUCUUGGGUAGAAACCUCUUCCUCAUCUGACUCUGCAUCUGCCAAUGAAGAAUCACUAGUGGUACCUUUUGCUGGAAUUACCACACUCUGCUCAAACUCCACCUGCUGCGGAGUACACUCCACCUGCUGCGAAGUACUACUCACUCCUUCUGGAUUUACCUUAUUCAACAUGGCAGAUUCAUGAAAGGUAACAUCCCUACUGAUUAUCGUCUUCUUUGCCUCUAGACACCACAAACGAUAUCCCUUAACACCAGCAUUGAAGCCCAUGAAUAGAGCCUUCUUUGCUCUUGGAUCUAACUUUGAUUCUUUCACAUGAUAAUAUGCAAUAGAACCAAAAAUGCGCAAGGUGUCAUAAUCAGUAGCAGGUUUUCCAUACCAUUUCUCCAAAGGAGUCUUGCCAUUUAUAGCAGAUGAUGGCAAAUGAUUGAUGAGAUGUUGAGCGUACGUCACAGCCUCAGUCCAAAACUUUCUAUCUAAUCCAGCAUUAGAUAACAUACAUCGAACUUUCUCCACAAGCGUUCGAUUCAUACGCUCUGCCACCCCAUUCUGUUGCGGUGUUCCACCUACGGUGAAGUGCCUUACUAUGCCACAAUCUUGGCAUAUCUUCAGGAAAGGAUCGCUUUUAUAUUCUCCACCGUUGUCUGAUCGGAGAACCUUAAUCUUCCUUCCUGUCUGAUUUUCAACUUUAGUUUUCCACUUAAGGAAAACUUCAAGCACCUCAUCUUUGUUCUUCAUAGGAAACACCCAAACUCGUCUGGAAAAAUCAUCAAUAAAGGUGACAAAAUAACGUCUUCCUCCAAGUGAUGGAGUCUUGGACGGUCCCCAUACAUCAGAAUGCACAUAAUCCAGAAUACCUUUAGUAUUGUGAAUCCCAGUGCCAAAUUUCACCCUUCGUUGUUUUCCCAGAACACAAUGCUCGCAAAAUUCAAGUUUGCAAGUCUUUGUACCUUUCAAUAAUCCUUGCUUGGCUAGAGUUUGCAAGGAUUUUUCACCAGCAUGGCCCAAACGCAUAUGCCACAGCUGUGUUGCCUCAGCGUCCUUCUUGGUACUCGAAAUUGCUGCUGCUGUUGUCCCGACCACUGUACUACCUUGGUAGUAAUACAGAUUGUUCUUUCUUAUGCCUUUCAACAUCACCAAUGCUCCUGAAGUUGCUUUAAGAACUCCAUCUCGUAUUGUCACAACUAGGCCUUUAGAUUCUAACGACCCCAAAGAGAUGAGAUUCUUCUUCAACUUUGGGACAUAUCGUACAUCCCGCAAAAUUCUAGUAGAUCCAUCAUGACUCCUCAGUUUAAUUGAACCUAUCCCGGCUAUUUUACACGUGUUAUCAUUACCCAUGUAAACAACCCCUUCAUCUAGUUUUUGAAAUUCAAAGAACCAUUCCCAAAUGGGACACAUAUGAUAGGAACAACCAGAAUCCAUGAUCCACUCAUCUGCAUGUAAUGUUGAAGAUGUCAUACUAAGAGAAAAGUCUGACUCUGCUUCACUAUUGCAUUCUGCAACAUUUGCAUCUUGCGGAGUCUUCCCUUUUUUCUUCAAUUUUGGACAAUCUUUCUUCCAAUGUCCUUUUUCUUUGCAAAAAGAACAUUCAUCUUUGGCAACAGCUCGACCUUUGGACUUUCUUCUCUUCCCCUUAGACUGACUUUGCUGACGACCUCUUGUUACCAAUGCUUCCACUGCUGCUUCACUUGAACCUUUCAACUUAUCCUUUCGGCGUAGUUCAUAGCUAUACAAUGCAGCAGUUACUUCAUUGAAAGUUACUUCCGAUUUUCCAUGAAGUAGAGUAGUUUCAAGGUACUCAAACUCCUCAGGAAGCGAUCCCAACAACAUUAACGCCAAGUCUUCGUCUUCAAAAGUCACAUCCAAAUUCAACAAAUCAGCCACCAGCUGAUUAAAAUUGGUAAUGUGCUCGUUCAUCGUGGUACCAGGAACAUAACUGAAACGAAACAGUCUUUUCUUCAUAUGUAACUUAUUUUGACUGUUCUUCUUCAGAAAUUUCUCCUCCAAUGCUUUCCACAAUUUACUUGCAGAAGUCUCUUUACUGAAUGUAUACUUCUGCUCUCUGGAAAGACAUGAUCGAAUUGUACCACAUGCCAAUCGGUUGAUGGUCUUCCAUUCUUUAUCAUCAACCCCUUCUGGUUUUUCUUCCUCAAUGGCAAUAUCUAGACCCUGUUGAAAGAGGGCAUCUAGAAGCUCACUUUGCCACAUGCCGAAAUGACCUGUUCCAUCAAAAAUUUCCACUACAAAUCUCGUAUUUGCAGUUCCAAUCCUCGGCAAAAUGUACGAAGUGGAAGUUGUUGAUAUGGAUGGUUUUUCUUCUGUCAUUUUUGCCAUAGCUUCUACUUAAUAGCCACCAAAUGCAGAAUACCCACAAGCUUUAGGAAAUGUUUCUGAUGUGUAAGAUCAGACUAAGCUGCAAACACAGAGCAUAUUACAAAACCUUGGCUCGGAUACCAAUUGUUGCGGAAGCGACGAUAAUAUUAAUAACAAUAUUAUCAGAAAUAUUUAGAUAAUUAUUAUGCCAACAAUUAUACUAAGAAAAUUCCCAGUUAAAUUGGAGGGGUCACAAUGGUCCCGCUUAAAACCCAACAACUAGACAGAACUCACUUAGAUAUUUAUAGCAAUAAUAACUAAAUAAAUAUAACCAAUAUAAAGCUAUUAAAUAAAAGCAAACAAAUAAGAAAUAAAAUACCAGAGUUUUAACGAGGUUCGGCCAAUUUAGCUUACGUCCUCGGACACUACCAAAUUAAUAUUUCCUCUAGAAAUAUUACAAAGGAGAAGAUUUUGGGAUAAUACAACCAAAGGGGGAGGGGUUCUAUAUAUAACAAACCAAACCCCCUCCAUUUCUAUCUUUUCCUAAUGUGGGAUAUUGCCAAUAUUCAACACAUA
rnacentral:lncRNA from 1 species